AUUGAACGCUGGCGGCAGGCUUAACACAUGCAAGUCGCGCGAGCGGCGGACGGGUGAGUAAUGUCUGGGAAACUGCCUGAUGGAGGGGGAUAACUACUGGAAACGGUAGCUAAUACCGCAUACCAUCAGAUGUGCCCCGAUGGGAUUAGCUAGUAGGUGGGGUAAUGGCUCACCUAGGCGACGAUCCCUAGCUGGUCUGAGAGGAUGACCGGGCACACUGGAACGGAGACACGGUGCAGACGCUGACGGUAGGCAGCAGUGGGGAAGAUUGCACAAUGGGCGCAAGCCUGAUGCAGCCAUGCCGCGUGUGUGAAGAAGGCCUUCGGGUUGUAAAGAACUUUCAGCGAGGAGGCGUUACUCGCAGAAGAAGCACCGGCUAACUCCGUGCCAGCAGGCGCGGUAAUUC
rnacentral:rRNA from 1 species